rnacentral:rRNA from 1 species
AAGCGCUCAUGACCAGACUUGGGCUUGGUUGAUCAUCCAGGGUUCUCCCUGGUGCACUCUUCCAGCCCAGGCCAGCAUCAGUUCGCUGUGGGGGAUAAAGGCUUUGGGAAUGUGGCUCCUCCGGGAGUGUUAUAGCCUAUUGCUGCAUACAUUGGAUGAGACUGAGG